CGGACUUCCGCUUUCUACUGGGGAUGGUGGGCGGAGCAUGUCGGAGUCGAACUGACUUAGACGGACUUAGACGGACCGACCGUCGAACCUCGUGUCGCUCAACAACCAGCAUCCAAGCCUCGCAUGAGAAGAAGCUCAUGAAAAUUCUGAACAGAACACAGCAGGAAAGCAGUGGUGCGUUCUGCUUUGAAGAGUGGGACGUUGAUCAGGAAGCCCAUGAAGUCAGCGUAAUCGCCUCAUCGUUGCCGCCGUUGAUUAAUUACCCCCGACUCCUGCUCACGUAGGAGCCAGUCACCAUCGAAACUACACACAUCCUUACAAAUCCAUCAGAUUCACUAAUUUUAUCAUUAGACGCCAUCAGCUCUAGCACUAGGGAUCCUGGUAUCCGUACGCGUUGAACUCGGCAAAGAGUUCCACGUGCAACUUAAUCCACAUAUCAGCCCGCUGAGUUUCUCGCCGAGUUACGGUCUCUUCUCAGCGGGUUACGAUUCCAAUCCGGUCGUAGAUGCAUUCGCGAAGCACCUGCCCUUGAGUUGAUAGGUCUCCACCGGAGGCGCUCGGGCUGUUGUUAGCAAACCCAGCCCUUAUUAGCGGAGUCCGUGCUUGCCCACCUGUUCUAGUGAAAGUGGAAAGGCCUCCGAGCCAGCAGUAAUACGUCCUUCAUAAAAAAAAACAAGAGUGGGGCAGUCCUCAUACAAUGCCAUUGUAAUUUCUACUUUAAAUCUUAAAGUGGCAACGUUCAAUUUGUGAUGUCAAACAAAAAAACUAGACGAAAACAUCUAUAGAAUUUCUAUAAUUUAAAAACUCUAUAAUAGAAAAGAAUAUUGCACAACGAUGAACAGCCAUCUUUGUUUGUUUUUACGAUUCUAUAAUAUAAAUAUUACUAUUUACAGGAUUAAUCUCUUUUUUUCAACUACAACAGAAGCUCAGUAUCGGAUUAGAUGCAUAUUAAUGUGAUUAGUGAGAUAAGUGCCAUUUAUAACAGUGAGUAAUAUAAUUAAAAACUAAUAUUUGCAUUGUACCAGGUGCUCACGUAUAUAAAAAGCUUCAUUUAUAAAAGAAACUAAUCUAAAGCAUACACGUAAUCUUACACAAAUGCUCAUGUUCUUGAAUUCGAUUUGAAAGAUUAAACAUGUAAUUAUCAAA